AUUGAACGCUGGCGGCAGGCCUAACACAUGCAAGUCGAACGAGUGGCGGACGGGUGAGUAAUGUCUGGGAAACUGCCCGAUGGAGGGGGAUAACUACUGGGAACGGUAGCUAAUACCGCAUACCAUCGGAUGUGCCCAGAUGGGAUGAGCGAGUGGGUGGGGUAACGGCUCACCAAGGCGACGAUCCCUAGCUGGGCGGAGAGGAUGACCAGCCACACUGGAACGGAGACACGGUCCAGACUCCUACGGGAGGCAGCAGUGGGGAAUAUGGCACAAGGGGCGCAAGCCUGAUACAGCCAUGCCGCGUGUAUGAAGAAGGCCUUCGGGUUGUAAAGUACUUUCAGCGGGGAGGCGUUACCCGCAGAAGAAGCACCGGCUAACUCCGUGCCAGCAGCCGCGGUAAUUC
rnacentral:rRNA from 1 species